AAUAUAAUGUUUAGUGAUUCAUAAAAAAAGUUGAGAGCAAAGAAAAACAUUUCAGAAAUUUUUAAAAUAAACUUCAACAUAUCAAUAUAUCAACAAAUCACACAUUUUAUGUGUUUCUAACUUAUGUAUAAAUAAAUUAUUGAAAAAUGCUUAAACAACAAAUAGUUUGAUACGCCUGGUAUUGAUAAAAACUCUAAACUACUGAUGAGAUAAUGCAAAAUUAUAGUGUUGUACAAUAAAAAGGAGGAUUCACUAGGAGAAUUAAUAAAAAGCGAUUUUACUCUCAAAACUAGCGGCUGGGUGAUUGUAUUGAACGGUUGUGAUUUGUUUUUGUAAAAUGUGGUGGAAAAUGUAAGCCAUUUAUUUAACCUCUGUGCUAAAUAAAACAAUUGAAAUAAAC